rfam:Heterocephalus glaber contig81702, whole genome shotgun sequence.
GUAUGUGAGGGUGCUCUGGCUGCGACACCUGCCACCCCUCCGAUGGCCAGGGUCAAUUCGGCUCAUCUGGCUGGCUCGGCGGGUUUCCCCUUCCUCCCUGUCCACUUCAUGUGUGUCCCUUCCGGUGGCGUUGGCUCCAUUGAAGGGGACGGCCACCCCCGAAAGAGCAGCACCACUUCCUCCAGCAGGGUGUACGAGUAGCUGUGCUCCCCUGGUAGAACCUCCAAACAAGCUCUCAGGGGCCAGGCAGUGGACACACCUGUUCUGCUGCAUGUAAACACCUAUGUAGGCAAAUAUGGGGGGGGUCUGGAAAGAUCUAUAU